CAGUCAGCUGUCAACAAAGAUGACUUCAUUCUGGCCUUUUCCAGUCAGUCAAAACUCAAUGUUUUGGCUCUGUCUGAGACAUGGAUCUGCAUAGACAACAUUGCAACUCCCUCAGAUCUCUCAACUGACUUCACUUUCACCCACACCCCUAGUCUGACUGGGUGAAGUGGGGGAACCGGUUUGCUCAUUUCAAACUCAGGUAAAUUUACUCCGCUCUCUUCUCUCUGCAAUAACACAACUUUUGAAUAUCAUGCUAUUACUGCCACUAAUCAUGCUAAAAUCCACUUUUUGGUCAUCUAUCACCGAGAUCAACUAGGAAACUUUGUUGAAGAGCUAGAUGUAUUGCUGUCCUCAUUCCCUGAGGACAGCACUCCGCUGAUGGUCCUUGGGGACUUUAACAUCCAUCUGGAGAAACCUCAAGUGACAGACUUUCUAGCUCUUCUGACCUAAUUUGACUUUAUAAGACUGCAUACCCCUGCAACUCACAGAGCAGAGAAACAGCUAGAGCUCAUCCUUACAUGCCAGCACAUGCCACACCCUCCAGCCCCUGGCUGUUGGAGACACUUCAUGAUCACCGAACUGAGCUGAGGGCUGCGAUGAGAAAGUGGCACAAGUCAAAAGACCCUGCUGACCUGUAACAACCUACUCGACAGACAUCAGUCUGGCUUCAACAAAGAACACUCAACAGAGACUGCCCUCUUGUCAGUAGCUGAAACCCUGCGACUGACAAGAGCUAACUCCAAAUCAUCUGUCCUCAUCCUCCUUGUCUUGUCUGAACCACAAGAUACUCCUGACCACCCUCUCUGACCUGGGCAUCACAGGAACUGCGAUUGGAUGGUUUGAGUGAUACCUCACUGGCAGAUCAUCAAGGUCUCCUGGAGAGGAGAGGUGUCAAAGACACACCAGCUGACCACUGGGGUUCCUCAAGGAUCAGUGCUUGGCCCCCUCCUCUUCUCGAUGUACACAACAUAACUGGGACCGUUCAUUGAGGCACAUGGCUUUUCCUACCACUGCUCCGCAGAUGAUACACAGCUAACACAACUACACUAACACCAACCAGAACAGCCCGGAACCUGGAAGUGGUGGUAGAUGACCAGCUUAAUUUCAUUGCACACAUCUCAUCAACCGCCUGGUCUUACAGAUUCAUGCUUUACAACAUCAGGAAAAUCAGACCUUUCCUGUCUGAAUAUGCUGCACAGCUCCUUGUCCAAGCUCUGGUCAUUUCAAGACUGGACUACUGCAAUGCUCUGUUGGCUGGCCUUCCAGCUAACACAAGCCACUGCAGAUGGUCCAGCAUGCAGCAGCGCAUCUGGUCUUCAAUCAGCCAAAAAGGGUUCAUGUCACCCCACUCUUAAUUUCACUCCACUGGCUACCUGUAGCUGCCCACAUCAAAUUCAAGUUUUGGUGGCAUGCGGAGGACCAACAGCAUAUUAGGCAGGUGGUCAUAAUGUUUUGGCUCAUCUGUGUAUAUUGUUUAUUGUUUGUUCAUUAUACCUAAUGCAUUAACUAAUGAUAAUGAAUAGACCCUUAUUGUAAAGUAUUAGUAGUAAUGUUAUGGAUUAAAUCAAGUAGUUUAAAUCCUUCAAGUAACAAUUGCAGGUUACUACUUUUUUCAGUAAAGGCACUCUUGAUGAUGGCCUGGUACAACAAUUUGAAGUUUGGGUGUCUGUGGAGGUUAAAGGUUAUAGGACUUCUAUAACUUCUUUUAACACCACCUAACCUCUCUAAACUCAGGUAAAAUAUACAGUACGGUGGAAACUGCAUAUAAAGCUUGAUACUGUUCAUAAAGAAUGAGUUGGAGUAAACAGUUAUUGAGAAGGUACAGUACGAGAACUGUUAGGUUGUUGUAGGUUCUGUGUUACAGGAUGCUCUGGCGGAAGGAUCCACAUAGAGGCAGUGCGUCACAUGGCCCAAGGUCAUAACGUAAUUCCUCCAGGAUGACAGACAAGUGUUUGAGCAUAGAAAUAGAUUCAGCUUCAGUUCAUUUGGUUCGAAGGAGAGACAACCCCUUUGGUCAUGCUUGUAUAGUUUAUCCUUGCUUACAAUCCUUGAGUUCCUGUGUCUCAAAAGUUCAUCAAGGAAGUGACUGUUUAAAUAUAUGUCAUUUUCCAAUGGGGACUUCCAAGAUUAAAAAGUCUAAAUUAGAUAACAGCUUAAAAAAAAUUUUUAUCAUUAUUUUAUCACAUGUUCACAGUGGACAAUCAAUAGACCUUAUUCUAGGGUGACCUGAAAAAAAAAAAAAGAGUAUUUCAAAACAAAUGUUAAAUGCUAAAAAUGUCCUGGGUGUCUUUAUUUUGAUGUGCUCUCUACAGUUAGGAUUAUCAUACAUUCUGGGUGUAUUUGAUACUGUGCAUAAGUUUUCACAAGUUUACAUGUUCUUGAUUAUUCUGGCUGAGAGUGGCAGGCACUCUUUCAAAGUUUCUUUUUUUAUUCUCUCUCUCUCUCUCUCUCUCUCUCUCUCUCUCUCUCACCCACCCGUGGGCUCAGCCCCCCAGACGUGCUCUGUCACUCUCAGCCAGAAACAUCAAUAAGUACACUUUUAAACUUAUGUUAUCCAACUCUGUGAAUUAUUAAAUAGAUCACCUGUUUCAUCAGACUCACGCUUACUACGCAUUGUCAUUUGUAACAGAAAAUGUUGUCCAUAUCGAGACAAUAUUGUAUAUUUUACAUAUCAGGGUAAUAAAAACUAAUUUGAUGGAUACAUUUUUAUUUACCAAGAUGGAAAUUCUACAACUCAGUCCAUCAGAUAUUUGUAGAGCAACCUCUGUAU